AACGAACGCUGGCGGCGUGCCUAACACAUGCAAGUCGAACGGGAAAACCCGCAAGGGUGAGUACAGUGGCGCACGGGUGCGUAACACGUGGGUAAUCUGCCCAGAAGCCCGGAAUAACUCCCCGAAAGGGGUGCUAAUGCCGGAUGAGACCACGGGGACUUCGGUUCCUGGGGGAAAAGGUGGCCUCUGUAUACAAGCUAUCACUUUUGGAUGAGCCCGCGGCCCAUCAGCUAGUUGGCGGGGUAAUGGCCCACCAGGGCUACGACGGGUAGCUGGUCUGAGAGGACGAUCAGCCACACUGGAACUGAGACACGGUCCAGACUCCUACGGGAGGCAGCAGUGGGGAAUCUUGCGCAAUGGGCGAAAGCCUGACGCAGCAACGCCGCGUGUGUGAUGAAGGUCUUCGGAUCGUAAAGCACUGUCGGGAGGGACGAAUAAGGGCCGGGUGAACAAUCCGGUUCGACGACGGUACCUCCAGAGGAAGCACCGGCUAACUCCGUGCCAGCCGCCGCAGUAAUAC
rnacentral:rRNA from 1 species